UACGUAGGUGGCAAGCGUUGUCCGGAAUUAUUGGGCGUAAAGCGCGCGCAGGCGGUCCCUUAAGUCUGAUGUGAAAGCCCACGGCUCAACCGUGGAGGGUCAUUGGAAACUGGGGGACUUGAGUACAGAAGAGGAAAGCGGAAUUCCACGUGUAGCGGUGAAAUGCGUAGAGAUGUGGAGGAACACCAGUGGCGAAGGCGGCCUGCUGGGCAGUAGCUGACACUGAGGCGCGACAGCGUGGGGAGCAAACAGG
rnacentral:rRNA from 1 species